CCUACGGGCGGCAGCAGUGGGGAAUAUUGGACAAUGGGGGCAACCCUGAUCCAGCCAUGCCGCGUGUGUGAAGAAGGCCCUCGGGUUGUAAAGCACUUUCAGUGAGGAAGAACGCCUGGUGGUUAAUACCCAUCAGGAAAGACAUCACUCACAGAAGAAGCACCGGCUAACUCCGUGCCAGCAGCCGCGGUAAUACGGAGGGUGCGAGCGUUAAUCGGAAUUACUAGGCGUAAAGCGCGCGUAGGUGGCUUGAUAAGCCGGUUGUGAAAGCCCCGGGCUCAACCUGGGAACGGCAUCCGGAACUGUCAAGCUAGAGUGCAGGAGAGGAAGGUAGAAUUCCCGGUGUAGCGGUGAAAUGCGUAGAGAUCGGGAGGAAUACCAGUGGCGAAGGCGGCCUUCUGGACUGACACUGACACUGAGGUGCGAAAGCGUGGGUAGCAAACAGGAUUAGAUACCCUAGUAGUC
rnacentral:rRNA from 1 species